AGUGCCCCGUGUGAUUUCGAGGCGACCAGUGUCGGGCGGCGUGUCGGGGGGGUUUGUGUGCGUGCGUUUCGGUCUCUCUCCCGGGAAAGUGGCGGGGGUGCGCUCGCUCGCGUUCGUCGUCGACAGGAUCGCGCAACCAGCCCAGGAUCGAACACUCCGAGUCCACCGCUUAUGAUUGAAACUCUUCUUAGAAGGAACACGGCUCUGAAGCCGUCAUAGACUCGAGUGAAUAAGGUCUGUGAUGCCCUUACAUGUUCUGGGCCGCACGCGCGCUGCAUGCCGGGCUCAGCAGGUUCUUUUCCUACUCCGAGAGGAGCGGGAAACCCUGUGAAAGCCCCUCUUGUUUGACAGUUUGAAUGUCAUUGCAUUCCCCUCUUCGGAGGGUGAGCAUCGGCUAAGGCGUGAUUGGGCCUGGGUCUUGCAAUUUUUUCCCACUAACGAGGAAUGCCUAGUAGCGGCGAGUCACUGACCUCGCCGUGACUCAGUCCCUGCCCUUUGUACACACCGCCCGUCGCUACUACCGAUUCGGUGUACCAGUGAGAGCCUUGGAAAGGCUCCC
rnacentral:rRNA from 1 species